rnacentral:rRNA from 1 species
ACGCUGGCGGCAGGCCUACACAUGCAAGUCGAGCGCCGUAGCAAUACGGAGCGGCAGACGGGAGAGUAACACGUGGGAACGUACCCUUUGGUUCGGAACAACCCAGGGAAACUUGGGCUAAUACCGGAUAAGCCCUCACGGGGAAAGAUUCAUCGCCGAAGGAUCGGCCCGCGUCUGAUUAGCUAGUUGGUGGGGUAAUGGCCCACCAAGGCGACGAUCAGUAGCUGGUCUGAGAGGAUGAUCAGCCUCACUGGGACUGAGACACGGCCCAGACUCCUACGGGAGGCAGCAGUGGGGAAUAUUGGACAAUGGGCGCAAGCCUGAUCCAGCCAUGCCGCGUGGGUGAUGAAGGCCCUAGGGUUGUAAAGCCCUUUCGGCGGGGAAGAUAAUGACGGUACCCGCAGAAGAAGCCCCGGCUAACUUCGUGCCAGCAGCCGCGGUAAUACGAAGGGGGCUAGCGUUGCUCGGAAUCACUGGGCGUAAAGCGCACGUAGGCGGAUCGUUAAGUCAGGGGUGAAAUCCUGGAGCUCAACUCCAGAACUGCCUUUGAUACUGGCGAUCUUGAGUCCGGGAGAGGUGAGUGGAACUGCGAGUGU